rfam:Hordeum vulgare subsp. vulgare, WGS project CAJW01000000 data, contig: morex_contig_428389
GCAUCCAUGAAUGAAUAGUUAAAGUGCCCCACUCAUAAUUGGUAAAUUUGCGGAUUCAAAUCCUGCUGGAUGCA